UACGUAGGGGGCUAGCGUUGUCCGGAAUCAUUGGGCGUAAAGCGCGUGUAGGCGGUCCGGUAAGUCCGCUGUGAAAGUCGGGGGCUCAACCCUCGGAUGCCGGUGGAUACUGUCGGGCUUGAGUACGGAAGAGGCGAGUGGAAUUCCUGGUGUAGCGGUGAAAUGCGCAGAUAUCAGGAGGAACACCAAUGGCGAAGGCAGCUCGCUGGGACGUGACUGACGCUGAGACGCGAAGCGUGGGGAGCAAACAGG
rnacentral:rRNA from 1 species